UACGGAGGGUGCGAGCGUUGUCCGGAAUCACUGGGCGUAAAGGGCGCGUAGGUGGCCGAGCAAGGUCGCGGUGAAAGCCCGGGGCUCAACCCCGGGUCGGCCGUGGCAACUACUCGGCUUGAGCACUGUAGGGGCGGGUGGAAUUCCGGGUGUAGCGGUGGAAUGCGUAGAGAUCCGGAAGAACACCGGUGGCGAAGGCACUUUACUGGGCUAUUACUAACACUCAGAGACGAAAGCUAGGGUAGCAAAUGGG
rnacentral:rRNA from 1 species